rnacentral:rRNA from 1 species
AGAGUUUGAUCCUGGCUCAGGAUGAACGCUAGCGGGAGGCUUAAUACAUGCAAGUCGAGCGGUAAGGUCUUCGGACCCUAGAGCGGCGCACGGGUGAGUAACGCGUACGAAACCUGCCUUUAAGAAGAGGCAUAGCCCUGGGAAACUGGGAGUAAUACCUCAUAGUAUUUAUUUACUGCAUGGUGAAUAGAUUAAAGCUGAGGCGCUUAAAGAUGGUCGUGCGUCUGAUUAGCUAGUUGGUAGGGUAACGGCCUACCAAGGCGACGAUCAGUAGGGGGCGUGAGAGCGUGGCCCCCCACACGGGUACUGAGACACGGACCCGACUCCUACGGGAGGCAGCAGUAAGGAAUAUUGGGCAAUGGACGGAAGUCUGACCCAGCCAUCCCGCGUGCAGGAAGAAUGCCCUAUGGGUUGUAAACUGCUUUUGUUUGGGAAGAAAUGUACUUUUUCAAGAGUAUUUGACGGUACCAGACGAAUAAGCACCGGCUAACUCCGUGCCAGCAGCCGCGGUAAUACGGAGGGUGCAAGCGUUAUCCGGAAUCACUGGGUUUAAAGGGUGCGUANGCGGCCAGAUAAGUC